GACGUUGGAAAUUUAUUUUCAGUGUCGCAGGGAAACCGAUAAACACACCGCCUGGGGAGUACGACCGCAAGGUUAAAACUCAAAUGAAUUGACGGGGACCCGCACAAGUAGUGGAGCAUGUGGUUUAAUUCGAAGAUACGCGCAGAACCUUACCAACACUUGACAUGUUCGUCGCGACUCUAAGAGAUUAGAGUUUUCGGUUCGGCCGGACGAAACACAGGUGCUGCAUGGCUGUCGUCAGCUCGUGUCGUGAGAUGUUGGGUUAAGUCCCGCAACGAGCGCAACCCUCACUUUUAGUUGCCAUCAUUAAGUUGGGCACUCUGAAAGAACUGCCAGUGAUAAGCUGGAGGAAGGUGGGGAUGACGUCAAGUCCUCAUGGCCCUUACGUGUUGGGCUACACACGUGCUACAAUGGCAUCUACAACAGGAAGCAAAACGGCAACGUUAAGCAAAUCCCGAAAAGAUGCCUCAGUUCGGAUUGCACUCUGCAACUCGAGUGCAUGAAGCUGGAAUUACUAGUAAUCGUGGAUCAGCGUGCCACGGUGAAUGCGUUCCCGGGUCUUGUACACACCGCCCGUCACACCAUGGGAGUUGGUUCUACCUUAAGGCAAGGUUUUAAACCCUUGACCACGGUAUAGUCAGCGACUGGGGUG
rnacentral:rRNA from 1 species